AUGUGUGUACCAAAAACCCAAGGAGGAAUGGGAUUCCGUGAUAUCCACUGUUUCAACCUGGCUCUGCUGGCCAAACAUGCAUGGCGUCUCCUUGAUAAUCCUGAUUCCUUGUGUGCCACUAUUCUAAGGGCCAAGUACUACCCUGAUGGCAAUUUGCUGAAUUCCAAGCCCAAGCAUGGUUCUUCCUUCACCUGGCAAAGCAUUAUGGCAGGCAUUACUACUCUGAAAUGCGGCAAUAUUUGGCGAGUGGGAAAUGGACAUAACAUCAAUAUUUGGAAAGAUGCAUGGAUCCCAAAUUGUGCCACUAGGAAGAUUGUGACUCCUGGGGGGACAUUGUUAUCAAGAGUGGUGGAUCUGAUUGACCCUGUUUCCAAUAUUUGGGAUGAGGACCUGAUUAGACAAACUAUGUGGCCCAUUGACGCUCAACGGAUUCUUACAAUCCCUCUUUUGCAACAUAACAUGUCAGAUUUCAUUGCUUGGAGUUAUACGAAAAAUGGUAUGUUCUUGGUACGGUCUGCUUAUUCCGUGGAGUGGAAUGAUCAAUACGGGAGUAAACUAAAACACUCUAACGGGAUGGGGCGAACCACACCUAACCCUAUUUGGUGCCAGAUAUGGAAAUUAUCCUGUCCGGCAAAAGUCAAAAAAUUUAUAUGGCGUACGUUACAUGGCACUCUCCCAUGCUGGACAACACUUGCUAAUAGACACAUGAAGGUCUCGCCCCUUUAUCCUACUUGCUCUCAGGGUGUAGAAGACACUGAGCACUUGCUUGUAACACCCCGAAUCCGACGCGCCAUGUGUCUCCUGUUUAUUCGCCUUCAUUGCCAUGUCAGUUGCUUGCGUGUUGCAUUUUUCCAUGUCAUCAUCUGUAUUUCAUCUACAUGUUUUUCAAAACUUGCAUCCGUCCGAGUCCUCCCGGUUCUCUCCGUUGUCCGUUCGGAGGCCAGACACACUCGCACGCGCCCGCGGCACCUCUGA
rnacentral:rRNA from 1 species